UUGGAGAUUUAUAUAAAAGGUUGGGCCUGCCCGGUGAUCUGAAAUGGUUUAACGGCUGCGAUUGAAACCGUACUAAGGUAGCAUAAUAAUUUGCCCUUUAAUUGGGGGAGAGAAUGAAUGGUUUGACGGUAAAAAAGCUGUUUUAAAAAUAAAAAAAGAAGUUAACUUUUAAGUGAAAAGGCUUAAGUUUUUAUAAAAGACGAGAAGACCCCGUUGAGCUUAAUUAGAGUAACUUAAAUGUAGGUUAUUUAAAAUUUUAUUGGGGCAAUAGAAAAUGAAAUGAAUCAUUUUUUUUAUUAUAAGGAUCCAGUUUUGACUGAAAAAAGCAAAAGCUACCGCGGGGAUAACAGGGUAAUUUUUUCUGAGAGUUCAUAUUUAANAAGAAGUUUGCUACCUCGAUGUUGGAUUAGAAUUUCUUUAUGCUUGCAGCAGGUAUAAUAGU
rnacentral:rRNA from 3 species